UACGUAGGGGGCUAGCGUUGCUCGGAAUCACUGGGCGUAAAGCGCACGUAGGCGGAUUGCUAAGUCAGGGGUGAAAUCCUGGAGCUCAACUCCAGAACUGCCCUUGAUACUGGCGGUCUCGAGUCCGGGAGAGGUGAGUGGAACUGCGAGUGUAGAGGUGAAAUUCGUAGAUAUUCGCAAGAACACCAGUGGCGAAGGCGGCUCACUGGCCCGGUACUGACGCUGAGGUGCGAAAGCGUGGGGAGCAAACAGGG
rnacentral:rRNA from 1 species